ensembl:lncRNA
GAUGACGUCAUUUUGCUGAGUGUGGAAACUAGAUGCGACGACAGGUUUCACUAUCAGCAAAGAACGGAUGAAUGGAUGAAAGACUGGGAAUAAAAACAAACGGACUGACUGGUAAAAGAUGACAAGACUUGACCAUGACUCAAGGUUAACCACCUCCACCUAGAUAGGAUAAAAGGGUGGAUGAAUUUAUGUGGGUUUCUUUUACAGGAGUAGAAGGAUGACAAAAUAUUCGAGGAUGAGUGAACCUGUAAAUGCCAUUUUUGUGUCUUGUGUUGCUUACAGAGGUAACUGCGCAGCGUUACCAUUUACAUUUUCUUCCCUACAGGGUUACAGUUUUAAUGUUUUUCUAUUACAGGAUUUCUGGGCGGAUGUGUGAAGAAACGGUGUUUAUGGGUUAGGAGUUGGGGAUGCUAUUACACUGUAUUUACAGGAAAUGUUUUAUAGCACCUAUGGAAUGAGGAUGCCUGACUACGGUCAAUGUGCUGCUAAUGUUUGCUUUGCUUUGGUGAGAGGGGUGCAGUAGAAAACAGACAAGUGACAUGAAAACAAGUAAUAAUAACAAAUAACAAAUUUGGGGACAGUUUGACCUAGAGCCCACUAACUGGCCAUUAGGGGCUCUCUCGCUCUCUCUCUCUCUCUCUCUCUCUCUCUCUCUCUCUCUCUCUCUCUCUCUCUCUCUCUCUCUCUCUCUCUCUCUCUCUCUCUCUCUCUCAGGUUGUUGCUCUUUAACUCCUAGAACACGCCCUUGGCGAGGUGGGGGGAACUGGACCACCUUUCUGUGCCCCAUCAUCCUCUAUUAGACGACAUCCAAGCUAAGACAGCUGUUACUGCUUUCAUCGGGAACCGAGACUGCUUGCAGCCGACCCCUGGGCAGGGUGGUGCCUGGACUCUUUUCUCCUCAUCUGCAAUGACAGAUAAAGACAAAUGAUAAGACCCGAGGAGUUUUUCGAGCCAGGCUUCGACACGUCUCUGUGUUCCUUUGAAUGUUACUUAUGUUUGUGUGUUGACCCAUUUAAGAUGGGUCAAAAGGGGGAUUUGAAGAAAAUAUAAUCUGAUCAAACAUUAUUCAGCUUUAAAUAUUGUUCAGCUUUAAAGUUACUGUGCAACUGUGUAAUAAAAAUAUGUGCUCACGACUUUGGCCUUGAGAGCGAUAAGAAGCGAUCGCCUCAUUCUGCAGGUGCAAGAUAUCUGCAAGCGAAGAGACUAGAACACCCAAGGCCGCUUUCCUUUUAUGGAGUUGUUUUUCUGCUAAUGCAGCACUGUCCUCACAACCCCCUCCUGUAAGUUUUAGAGAAUAUAUACCCAUCCUCACAGCAAAUAUUGGGAAUCUCCUGAUGUGAGCUGUGUUGAGAGGUUGUCUCUGUCUCAAUAAAAGUUCACUGAUUCCCCCAUCUGCAGCAGGUGUCCGGUUGUCUUCAUUCUCCGCCAGCCUGGUUAAGUCAAUUCCUCCUUAACAUCUAAAAGAACCUAUUUAAUGAAGGAAGACGGGUUCACUUUGUGUUUAAUAUUAUUCUAUUGCUGUUGUUGUUUUUUUUAUAUCCU